rnacentral:ncRNA from 1 species
CAAAGGCAUGGUCCCGACCUUAUUAUCAGCUCUAACUCAACUUACACAUGCAAGUCUCCGCGACCCUGUGAGUAUGCCCUUAAUCCCCUGCCCGGGGACGAGGAGCGGGUAUCAGGCACAAGUUUUUGCCCAAGACGCCUGGCCAAGCCACACCCCCAAGGGAAUUCAGCAGUGAUAGAUAUUGAGCCAUAAGUGAAAACUUGACUCAGUCAGAGCUAAAAGGGCCGGUAAAACUCGUGCCAGCCACCGCGGUUAAACGAGAGGCCCUAGUUGAUGAUUGACGGCGUAAAGGGUGGUUAGGGGGUGUAAUGUAAUAAAGCCGAAUGGCCCCUUGGCUGUCAUACGCUUCUGGGUGUCCGAAGUCCAACAUACGAAAGUAGCUUUAAAAGAGUCCACCUGACGCCACGAAAGCUGAGAAACAAACUGGGAUUAGAUACCCCACUAUGCUCAGUCAUAAACCUAGACGUCCUACUACAGCUAGACGUCCGCCCGGGUACUACGAGCGCUUGGCUUGAAACCCAAAGGACCUGACGGUGCCUCAGACCCCCCUAGAGGAGCCUGUUCUAGAACCGAUAACCCCCGUUAAACCUCACCACUUCUAGCCACCCCAGCCUAUAUACCGCCGUCGUCAGCUUACCCUGUGAAGGUAAUAAAAGUAAGCAGAAUGGGCACAACCCAGAACGUCAGGUCGAGGUGUAGCGCACGGAGCGGGAAGAAAUGGGCUACAUUUUCUAUAAUAGAAUAUUACGAAUAUGCAACAUGAAAUAGUGCUUGAAGGAGGAUUUAGUAGUAAAAAGGAAGCAGAGUGUCCUUUUGAACCCGGCUCUGAGGCGCGUACACACCGCCCGUCACCCUCUCCUGUCGAAUGCAAUAAAAAUACCUAAUACCAACGCGCUGACAAGGGGAGGCAAGUCGUAACAUGGUAAGUGUACCGGAAGGUGCACUUGGAUUAAAUU